UUUUUGAAUGUUGUCAAUCUGGAUUCUGAAACUAAGUUACAAACAUGCAUUGAGAAACAAUCAAGAAUGAACAACGUCCAUUUGCAAAUCUGUGUAAAAUCUUUGCAAAAGUGUUUGAGAUUGUUUGUUAAUUAGGUAUUUGCAUUUUUGUGCAUUUGAAAGUGUUUAUUUGUUGCGAAUUAUGCUGUCGUGUUUACUUAGACAAUAUGAGUAAACGAUAAAGGCCUGCUGUGUACCAGGAUGCAGGAAUAAGCAAGCGAUAAGACAUUACAUCCAAGUUAAUGCGUGCAGAUACAGUAUUAUCAUCACAUAGAAUAUGUGGUAUUCAGUUUGAACCAAUUUGUAGAAAUCCUAUACUAUACUAUACUAUAACCCUAUAACUAUAUUUACCUGGUUACAAAAAAGGUGAAAAUGAUAUUUUUUGGGUACAGGAGCAACCAUCUUCAUUUUCAACUCCAAAAGGCUGAUAGAAUCAAUUGCAAGGACUAGUUUCUCUAUCAGCACCUUUAGUGAUAACAGCCCAAUAGAGGGAACAAAAAAACCUGUUAAGGUGUACACAAGGAAGUGAUUAUUUCAAGCCCUUGUUGAAACACCUUGUAAGUAUGAAUUCAAAAUGGCAAUAUUUUUAUAUAUAAUUGUAAUAGUUGUAGUCACAACUAUUGACACUGUCCAUAUAAUAAAUUUGAAUUGAACCUGAAGUCAUGAAUUUAUUUGAUUAUCUUGUAUGAACCAACAAUAUCGACUAAUUUGGAAACAGAUAAACUUGAAGGGCACUUGACUGUGGCAGAUGAGUAAAAAAAUUUUUUUGUUUGUGGAUAUAUUCAUAUAAUGCCAAAAACAAAAUAAAAAUUAUAAUAAUCA